GAUGAACGCUAGCUACAGGCUUAACACAUGCAAGUCGAGGGGAAACGACAUCGAAAGCUUGCUUUUGGUGGGCGUCGACCGGCGCACGGGUGAGUAACGCGUAUCCAACCUGCCCACCACUUGGGGAUAACCUUGCGAAAGUAAGACUAAUACCCAAUGAUAUCCCACGAAGGCAUCCGAAUGGGAUUAAAGAUUUAUCGGUGAUGGAUGGGGAUGCGUCUGAUUAGCUUGUUGGCGGGGUAACGGCCCACCAAGGCAACGAUCAGUAGGGGUUCUGAGAGGAAGGUCCCCCCACAUUGGAACUGAGACACGGUCCAAACUCCUACGGGAGGCAGCAGUGAGGAAUAUUGGUCAAUGGGCGAGAGCCUGAACCAGCCAAGUAGCGUGCAGGACGACGGCCCUAUGGGUUGUAAACUGCUUUUAUAAGGGAAUAAAGUGGGUCACGUGUGACUUUUUGUAUGUACCUUAUGAAUAAGGACCGGCUAAUUCCGUG
rnacentral:rRNA from 1 species